GUGAAGCAAGACCAGGGCUGGGGCUCUCUGAGCUCAUGUUAAGGUCUAGACAUCAAUCUGCAGGGAAUGGAUGUCUUACUGUGUUGAGUCUCUGUUUACUCAACGCCUCCAGCAAGAUUUCUGAAGAUCUAGACCAGCAGAUCCCAAAAUUAAUGUGAGAAGACAAAUGAGCUCUAAUAAUGGAGGCAUUUCUGGAAAAUAAGAAUACGUACGGCGGAAUUGCAGCACCUGAAUCCUUUCAUUGAGGGUAAAAUUCCCAUAGCAGAGAGGUCACCAUGUGAACGCAUGCAGGAUAAUUUCUUCCGUGGGAAAAUACACGUAACAAAAUUUACCACCUCGACCGUUUCACAGCGUGGGGUUCGGCGGCAUUAAGUGUGCUUCCAACGCGGUGGGGACCUCGCCGCCACCUGCCUCCACGCGCGUUCCUCCUGUGGAACUGAGACUCUGUCCCUGGGAUAAAGACCUGAACAGAACUUCACGAAAGAGGACAUGCCCAUCAGCAGACGGGAAGCCCUUCGAUGUCAUCAGCCGUCAGAGAAAUGCGAGCUAAAACCACAAUGAGAUGGCACUGCACGCCCACGAGAACGGCUGAAAGGACGAUCCAACCAGCAGUUCCAAGAGCUACUGAGGAUACGGAGCACCUGGGGC